rnacentral:rRNA from 1 species
AUUGAACGCUGGCGGCAGGCCUAACACAUGCAAGUCGAACGGAGUGGCGGACGGGUGAGUAACGCGUAGGUAACUGCCUCAUAGCGGGGGAUAACUCUUGGAAACGAUAGCUAAUACCGCAUACUGUGAGAUGGACCUGCGUUGUAUUAGCUAGUUGGUGAGGUAAAGGCUCACCAAGGCGACGAUACAUAGCCGACCUGAGGGGUGGAUCCGCCGGACUGGGACGGAGACACGGGCCAGACACCGACUGGAGGCAGCAGUGGGGGAUCUUGGGCAAUCGGCGGAAGUCUGGCCGAGCAGCGGGGGGGGAGUGAAGAAGGUUAUCGGAUCGUAAAGCUCUGUUGUUUGAGUAGCGGUAACUAACCAGAAAGGCACGGCUGACUACGUGCCAGCAGCCGCGGUAAUAC